AUACGGAGGCGGCUAGCGUUGUUCGGAAUUACUGGGCGUAAAGCGUACGUAGGCGGACUGAUCAGUUGGGGGUGAAAUCCCAGGGCUUAACCCUGGAACUGCCUUCAAUACUGUCAGUCUUGAGUCCGGAAGAGGUGAGUGGAAUUCCUGGUGUAGAGGUGAAAUUCAUAGAUAUCAGGAGGAACACCAGUGGCGAAGGCGGCUCACUGGUCCGGUACUGACGCUGAGGUACGAAAGCGUGGGGAGCAAACAGGAUUAGAAACCCCAGUAGUCC
rnacentral:rRNA from 1 species